AUUGAACGCUGGCGGCGUGCCUAAUACAUGCAAGUCGAACGGAGUGGCGCACGGGUGAGUGAUGUAUAGCUAAUCUACCCUACACUAGAGGACAACAGUUGGAAACGGCUGCUACUACUCUAUAGUGUAGGAUGAGGCUAUAUUGUAUCAGCUAGUUGGUGAGGUAAUGGCUCACCAAGGCUAUGACGACUAACUGGUCUGAGAGGAUGAUCAGUCACACUGGAACUGAGACACGGGUCAGACUCAUACGGGAGGGAGCAGUAGGGAAUAUGGCUCAAGGGGGGAAACCCUGAAGCAGCAACGCCGCGUGGAGGAUGAUACUGUUCGGAGAGUAAACUACUUUUGUUAUGUAAGCGUUACCUAACGAAGAAGCACCGGCUAACUCCGUGCCAGCAGCCGCGGUAAUAC
rnacentral:rRNA from 1 species